rnacentral:misc_RNA from 1 species
ACGUAUAAAAAAAAAAAAAAAAAAAAAAAAAAAAAAAAAAAAAAAAAAAAAAAAAAAAAAAAAAAAAAGGAUUUCUCCACGAAAAAAAAAAAAAAAAAAAAAAAAAAAAAAAAAAAAAAAAAAAAAAAAAAAAAAAAAAAAAAAAAAAAAAAAAGGAUUUCUCCACGAAAAAAAAAAAAAAAAAAAAAAAAAAAAAAAAAAAAAAAAAAAAAAAAAAAAAAAAAAAGG